CCUACGGGUGGCAGCAGUGAGGAAUAUUGGUCAAUGGACGAGAGUCUGAACCAGCCAAGUAGCGUGAAGGAUGACUGCCCUAUGGGUUGUAAACUUCUUUUAUAUGGGAAUAAAACGUUCCACGUGUGGGAUUUUGUAUGUACCAUAUGAAUAAGGAUCGGCUAACUCCGUGCCAGCAGCCGCGGUAAUACGGAGGAUCCGAGCGUUAUCCGGAUUUAUUGGGUUUAAAGCGAGCGUAGGUGGAUUGUUAAGUCAGUUGUGAAAGUUUGCGGCUCAACCGUAAAAUUGCAGUUGAAACUGGCAGUCUUGAGUACAGUAGAGGUGGGCGGAAUUCGUGGUGUAGCGGUGAAAUGCUUAGAUAUCACGAAGAACUCCGAUUGCGAAGGCAGUUCACUGGACUGCAACUGACACUGAGGCUCGAAAGUGUGGGUAUCAAACAGGAUUAGAUACCCCAGUAGUC
rnacentral:rRNA from 1 species